UUGAAUUAUGUGAACGUUUUUCUGAGCUCUGGAAAUCACUGGUCUGCAAGUAAUUAUCUCCAACAAUACUACUCCGAAGCUAUAAACAUCACUUUUCUCAGUCAGUCUGUUCGAGGUGUAGUAUCUGCAAGUGCGAUAUAAGGAAAUUGGUUUGACUGAAAGUGAUACCUACUCUGGAUCAAAGUAACCAGGAGUGCCAGCCACCGUUGUGGACAUGUGAGUCUUGCUACCAUCAUUUGGGAAACUCUUGGAGAGUCCGAAAUCAGCAAGUUUGGCUUGGAAAUUGUCUGUUAGCAAUAUGUUUGUUGUUUUGACAUCUCUGUGGACUAUGGGGGGCUUACAACCAUGAUGCAGGAGUUUGAGAUUUGGCAAUUUGGACAGAGAAUCAGGCAGUUUUCCUGUUAAGCCAUUGUUUGACAAGUCCCUGAAAUUAAAACUCAAUUUAUUAUAAUUGGUUUUAAGAUGGCAUUGGAGAUCCUAGUUUAGAUAUCAUUUAAAGUAAAGAUACUUACAGAGUUUCUAGGGCUGCUAGAUUGGAUACAUCUGGAGAUAUGUCUCCUGUCAGACCACUUGACGACAAGUUCCUUGAUAUGAUUCUUGGGAUUGACUCAUUGGUACAACCUACACCACUCCAAGGAUAUGCUUUGGGGAUGCAUGGAUCGCCUUGCCAAUCUUUGAUGACUCCAAUGUAAAAGGCGAAAAUAAGAAGCUAACGAUGGAAAGUUAAGUCAUCAUACCAUCUUCAUGAUCUGAUUCUAGUUCUGAGAUCUCAAUUUGGAGAUAAACUUCUAAACCAUUGAUGAUUGGAGGAAGUGUUGAAUUUUCAGUUUUAAAAAAAGAAAAGCUGUGUUGCUUUUGUGGGAAUUUCAG